rnacentral:pre_miRNA from 1 species
AAAGUACUCCCUCCGUCCCAAAAUUCUUGUCUUAGAUUUGUCUAGAUACAGAUGUAUCAAGUCACAUUUUAGUAUUAGAUACAUCCGUAUCUAGACAAAUCUNAGUAUUAGAUACAUCCGUAUCUAGACAAAUCUAAGACAAGAAAUUUGGGACAGAGGGAGUAGUUG